UACGUAGGGUGCGAGCGUUGUCCGGAAUUAUUGGGCGUAAAGAGCUCGUAGGCGGUCUGUCGCGUCGGCUGUGAAAACCCGGGGCUCAACCCCGGGCCUGCAGUCGAUACGGGCAGACUAGAGUGUGGUAGGGGAGACUGGAAUUCCUGGUGUAGCGGUGAAAUGCGCAGAUAUCAGGAAGAACACCAGUGGCGAAGGCGGCUCACUGGCCCGGUACUGACGCUGAGGUGCGAAAGCGUGGGGAGCAAACAGG
rnacentral:rRNA from 1 species